GCUAUCCAAACAUUUUGUAUGCGAAAAAGUAGUUUUACUUAUUAUUUCAUUUUACUUCAUAUUCUCAAGCAAAAAAAAAAUACGGUUAAGAGAAAUUGCUGAUAAAAAGAACUAGAGGCUCUAAAGAGCCUGUGUCGCUCACCUUGGUCUAUGUGCAUAUUAACAAAGGACACAGAUGGAUUCAUGACAAAAUUGUGUUUUGGUGAUGGUGAUGUGUUUGUAGAUCUUACUUUACUGAACAUUCUUGCUCCUUACUAUUAUCUCUAUCCAUAAUGAACUUGGCCCGGUAGUUACAGUGGAAAAUACUUUGUAAAAAUUUACAAAAAUUUACAAAAUUUAUGAAAAUUGUAAAAUAUUGACUAUAAAGGGCAAUAACUCCUUAAGGGGUCAAUUGACAAUUUUGGUCAUGUUGCCUUAUUUGUAGAUCUAACUUUGCUGUACAUUAUUGCUGUUUACAGUUUAUCUCUAUCUAUAAUAAUAUUCAAGAUAAUAACCAAAAACGGCAAAAUUUCCUGAAAAUUACCAAUUCAGGGGCAGCAACCCAACAACGGGUUGCCUGAUUGGUCUGAAAAUUUCAGGGCAGAUAGAUCUUGACCUAAUGAACAAUUUUAUCCUCAUCAGCUUCGCUCUUAAUGCUUUGGUUUCAGAGAUAUGAGCCAAAAACUGCAUUUUACCCUAUGUACUAUUUUUUAGCCAUAUCGGCCAUCUUGUUCGCGGGUGGGGUCAUCGGACACAUUUUUUAAACUAAAUACCCUAAUGAUGAUUGUGGACAAGUUUGGUUAAAUUUGUCAUAGUAGUUUCAGAGGAGAAGAUUUUUGUAAAAGAUUACAAAAAUUUACGAAAAAUGGUUAAAAAUUGACUAUAAAGGGCAAUAACUCCUUAAGGGGUCACUGACCAUUUUGGUCAAGUUGACUUAUUUGUAGAUCUUACUUUGCUGAACAUUAUUGCUGUUUACAGUUUAUCUCUAUCUAUAAUAAUAUUCAAGAUAAUAACCAAAAACGGCAAAAUUUCCUUAAAAUUACCAAUUCAGGGGCAGCAAACCAACAACGGGUUGUCCGAUUCAACUGAAAAUUUCAGGGCAGAUAGAUCUUGACCUGAUAAACAAUUUUACCCCAUGUCAGAUUUGCUCUAAAUGCUUUGGUUUCAGAGAUAUAAGCCAAAAUCUACAUUUUACCCCUAUGUUCUAUUUUUAGCCAUGGCGGCCAUCUUGGUUGGUUGGCAGGGUCAUCGGACACAUUUUUUAAACUAGAUACUUGAAUGAUGAUUGUGUUUAAGUUUGGGUGCAUUUGGCCCAGUAGUUUCAGAGGAGAAGAUUUUUGUAAAAGUUUACGGACGACGGACGACGGACGCAAAGUGAUGAGAAAAGCUCACUUGACCUUUCAGGUCAGGUGAGCUAAAAACUGUAAAAUUUCUGUAAAAUUACUAACUCAGAGGCAGCAACCCAACAACGGGUUGUCGGAUUCGUCUGAAAAUUUCAGGGCAAAUAAAUCUAAAUCUGAUGAACAUUUUUGCCACCUGUCUGAUUUGCUAUAAAUGCUUUAGUUUCAGAGAUAUAAACCAAAAACUGCAUUUUACCCCUAUAUUCUAUUUUUAACCAAGUCGGCCAUGAUGGUUGGAAGGCGGGGUCAUCCGACAAAUUUUUUAACUAGAUAUCCUAAUAAUGAUUAUGGCCAAGUAUGGUAAAAUUUGUCUCAGUAGUUUCAGAGAAGAAGAUUUUUGUAAAAGAUUACAAAAAUUUAAGAAAAAUUGUUAAAAAUUGACUAUAAAGGGCAAUAACUCCUAAAGGGGUCGACUGACAAUUUUGGUCAUGAUGACUUAUUUGUAGAUCUUACUUUGCUGAACAUUAUUGCUGUUUACAGUUUAUCUCUAUCUAUAAUAAUAUUCAAGAUAAUAACCAAAAACAGCAAUAUUUCCUUAACAUUACCAAUUCAGGGGCAGCAACCCAACAACAGGUUGUCAGAUUUGUCUGAAAAUGUCUGGGCAGAUAGAUCUUGACCUGAUAAUCAGUUUUACCCUAUGUCAGAUUUACUCUAAAUGCUUUGGUUUCAGAGAUAUAAGCCAAAAUCUACAUUUUACCUCCAUGUUCUAUUUUAAGCCAUGGCCGCCAUCUUGGUUGGUUGGCGGGGUCAUCGGACACAUUUUUUAAACAAAAUACCCUAUUAAUGAUUAUGGCCAAGUAUUGUUAAAUUUGUCUCAGUAGUUUCAGAGAAGAAGAUUUUU